rnacentral:rRNA from 1 species
GACGAACGCUGGCGGCGUGCUUAACACAUGCAAGUCGAACGGAAAGGCCCUGCUUUUGUGGGGUGCUCGAGUGGCGAACGGGUGAGUAACACGUGAGUAACCUGCCCUUGACUUUGGGAUAACUUCAGGAAACUGGGGCUAAUACCGGAUAGGAGCUCCUGCUGCAUGGUGUUGGUUGGAAAGAUUCGGCGUUUGGGGAUGGACUCGCGGCUUAUCAGCUUGUUGGUGUGGUAGUUGUUUACCAAGGCUUUGACGGGUAGCCCGCCUUAGAGCGUGAACGGGGACAUGGGGACUGAGAGACGGACCAGACUCGAACGGGAGGCAGCGGUGGGGAAUAUUGCAGAAUGGGCGGGAGUCUGAUGCAGAAAUGCUGGGUGCGGGAUGCCGGCUUUCGGGGUGUAAACAGAUUUCGAAGGUGACGAAGAGGGAGUGACGGUAAUGGGUAAAGAAGCAACGGCUAACUACGUG